GCCUUCGUGGUGUAGUGGUCAGCACGCUGGGCGCGUAUUCCAGAGGUCCGUGGUUCGAGUCCUGGCUAAGGCG
rnacentral:tRNA from 1 species